CACGUAGGGUGCGAGCGUUGUCCGGAAUUAUUGGGCGUAAAGAGCUCGUAGGCGGUCCGUCACGUCGGAUGUGAAAUUCCAAGGCUCAACCCUGACCUGCAUUCGAUACGGGCGGACUAGAGUUCGGUAGGGGAGACUGGAAUUCCUGGUGUAGCGGUGAAAUGCGCAGAUAUCAGGAGGAACACCGGUGGCGAAGGCGGGUCUCUGGGCCGAUACUGACGCUGAGGAGCGAAAGCGUGGGGAGCGAACAGG
rnacentral:rRNA from 1 species